rnacentral:tRNA from 1 species
AGAAUAUGUGGUUCAUGCGAAAGCUGCUAACUUACGCCCUUGCGGUUAAACUCCGUUUAUAUUCUA